ACGGGUGAGUAACGCGUGGGAAACCUGCCCUAUACUGGGGGAUAGCAGUUGGAAGCGACUGAUAAUACCGCAUAAGCGCACAGCUUCGCAUGAAGCAGUGUGAAAAACUCCGGUGGUAUAGGAUGGUCCCGCGUCUGAUUAGCUAGUUGGUGAGGUAACGGCCCACCAAGGCGACGAUCAGUAGCCGGCCUGAGAGGGUGUACGGCCACAUUGGGACUGAGACACGGCCCAAACUCCUACGGGAGGCAGCAGUGGGGAAUAUUGGACAAGUGGGGGAAACCCUGAUCCAGGACCGACGCCGCGUGAACGAUGAAGUAUUUCGGUAUGUAAAGUUCUAUCAGCAGGGAAGAUAAUGACGGUACCUGACUAAGAAGCACCGGCUAAAUACGUGCCAGCAGCCGC
rnacentral:rRNA from 1 species